UACGUAGGGUGCAAGCGUUAAUCGGAAUUACUGGCGUAAAGCGUGCGCAGGCGGUGAUGUAAGACAGUUGUGAAUCCCCGGCUCAACCUGGGAACUGCAUCUGUGACUGCAUCGCUGGGAGUGCGGGCAGAGGGGGAUGGAAUUCCGCGUGUAGCAGUGAAAUGCGUAGAUAUGCGGAGGAACACCGAUGGCGAAGGCAAUCCCCUGGGCCUGCACUGACGCUCAUGCACGAAAGCGUGGGGAGCAACAGG
rnacentral:rRNA from 1 species